GAUGAACGCUGGCGGCGUGCCUAAUACAUGCAAGUCGAGCGAAUGGAUUAAGAGCUUGCUCUUAUGAAGUUAGCGGCGGACGGGUGAGUAACACGUGGGUAACCUGCCCAUAAGACUGGGAUAACUCCGGGAAACCGGGGCUAAUACCGGAUAACAUUUUGAACCGCAUGGUUCGAAAUUGAAAGGCGGCUUCGGCUGUCACUUAUGGAUGGACCCGCGUCGCAUUAGCUAGUUGGUGAGGUAACGGCUCACCAAGGCAACGAUGCGUAGCCGACCUGAGAGGGUGAUCGGCCACACUGGGACUGAGACACGGCCCAGACGCCUACGGGAGGCAGCAGUAGGGAAUCUUCCGCAAUGGACGGAAGUCUGACGGAGCAACGCCGCGUGAGUGAUGAAGGCUUUCGGGUCGUAAAACUCUGUUGUUAGGGAAGAACAGGUGCUAGUUGAAUAAGCUGGCACCUUGACGGUACCUAACCAGAAAGCCACGGCUAACUACGUGCCAGCCGCCGCCGUAA
rnacentral:rRNA from 1 species